AAUACUCCACAUUGUUCUCAGAAUAUAUGCAUGCAAAACUGCCUCUUGCUGCACAGCUGCAAUGUUCACUGAGACAUUUGGAUAGGGGAAAAACAUAUUCUUUGCGGAAAGAAAACGAAAAGAAUUAGGUAAUCUCACUGAAUUUAUCUGCAAGCAAAGGAUAUGUUGGGGUCUGUCCGUCCCUAAUUACCAAUCUCUUGUUUGAAUGGGUGACUAUUGAUUUUGUGUAAUGUAUGCAAUGUGGAAUUUUAUGACAGUGAAGUAACUUCAACGUAGAAAACAUAGUAAAAUAAGCUUCUAAUAUAAGAAAGAUUCUACAGUUUUAAAACAAAUAAUAUUCGACCUCUGUGUUCUGUUGUUCACCAACACCUAUCUCUUAUGAUACAAACAAACAAAUUUACCUUAUUUGAAGAGAGGCAUAAUUGCUCUAUUGCCAAGGAUGCAAGAGUUGGAGAUUUAAAACGUGGUAUUGACAGAGUUGCUGCAUGGCUUUGGGCAAGCAAUUAACCUUUGGCGUCUCAGUUACUUCAUCUGUAAAAUAGGGAUAAGGGUUUUGCACAGGUGUAAUGCCUGGGCUAAUUAGUAUAAUUAUUAUUGAUGGGAAAAUAAUGUUGGUCACUGAUUUUGUAUCUCAUAUGAACACCCGGGAAUCAUUUUUAUUUCCUCUACAUUGAAUCAUUUUUUAAGGAGUCUAAAAAACAAAAGCUAAAUGAUGACAAAAGCCACAAUACAGUUAAAAGAGACCAUGUCCAUGUAGGUACAUAAACUUCAUAGAUUAUUUUUUGACUUUGUAUUUAUCACCUAGAUGUUUUCUAAACUUAGACUAAACAAGUCGACUAUGAAAAUACAAGGAAACUUUUCAAGGCCCACGUUCAUCUGGUAAAAUACACUGCAGUAAAAGGCUCUCCAGUUCUUUGGUAGGUGACAUUAUGACAGUAUUAGGGUAGUUUAGGGUUGAGCCAUAGAAUUUAGGGUCAUCAAAGUCAAGUAAAAGUGUACACCAAAGACACUGUUCACAUAACAUCGAAUACCCUCCACUUCCAUGUGCAUAUCUGCCCUGUAAGCAGGGGACUGGGACAGACAAUGGUGGUACAGGAGAUGCAGCUGUGCCAGAGUGGGAGGAUGGGAGCUGGGCACAGCAGGGCACCCUUAUACUAGACCACAGGUAAUGACUCUUUGAGUCAGUGAGAGGGGCAGAAGUGAGUGAGACAAAAAUGGAGGUGCAGUCGGGGCUCAUCUCGAACUCCUAAGUGCUUUUUAUUUUUCUGUUUCCUAAGCCAGGGUGAAAUAGAUCUGCUAAAAGAAGCUGGCGAAAAAGGCAAUGAGCCACAGAGAGAAGCGUAAGAGAUGGAAGGGCUCCAAUAUCAGUGCUCAGCGCUGUAACUUCUGCAUCCUUUACCAUAGACACGUCGCCUGCCAACCCGAAACUUCUCCCCGUGGCUUUUGGUAGGCAGAGAUUUUCUCCCAGCAGAGAAUUCUUUUCUCCAAAUGAGUAGGUAUCAAGCCUCAAACCUCUAAUAUCUCCCAAGAAAUUAGCCUCUUGACUAGUCAUUCCUACUAAGGGCUCUGUCCCUUUCUUCCAUACUUGCCUCAAAAUUAUAGGCAACAACUUCUAAAUGGAAAUACUACAGCUGUUGCCAUUUUCAUAUUAUCCUCACCUAUCAUAGGAAACCUAACAAUUAGCAUUUCCAGCAGGAUUGAAACUGCUAACACAACUUCUCUCUGUCCUACACCAUUAAACUUGAUUAGAAAUCCCUUCACGAUUAACAUUCAUCUCGCUGAAUCGUGCUUGAAGGUUAAUAAUAUCCACCAUCUCCUGAGAGAGGGGGAGGGGAGCGUGUUUAUUAAAUGAAGAGCAGCAGGAGGGCGCCAGGAGAGGCAAUUUCUCUUCCGUCCACUAGAGGGUGGCUCCGCGGGGCCGGCGGGAGGACGGCGGAGACGCGGAGACAGCAUCCCCCAGCUCGCCUGCACUUUAGAUGGUAAGAAGCAGCAACGUUAGUAUUCAUCGUUCUCUAUGGGUCACCCUGUGUAGAUUUUAACUUCUCAUAAAGCCCCUUCACAAAUGCCAGAAGGCCUUGUUGGCUUAGCCAUAGCUUAGUGAGGAGAAAAAAACCAGAACAAAACAAAACAAAACAAAACACCUACCGUCUUUGCCUGCUUAAGACAACAUCCAGUCUGAUUCUUCUAAAUCAACACUGCGUGAGAUACAUGCAUAACCUGUAUUAACAGACGCUAAGUUUAAAACCUUCGUGUAUUUAUGCCGUGGCACCCCGUGUGUGCCGUGUAAGUGGAUACGGAGCGUGUCAGUUGUAGCGAAAAGCAUCUCCAUUAUGUAUGAUGCAUAAGGAAAUGUACCCAGCCUUCAGCACACCGGCCGUUUCUGCUUAUGGGGCUGAGUUAUCCAUGAAGUGCUUUGUAGUAAAAGCAUUGUAGUAAAUAUCCUACUUGAUGGACUUUUUUAGACCUACCCACCUAUACAGGUUUGUGUAAUUAAGGAAGAAGUAGACAUUUUAACAAUGACGGACAAACCUUAAAAAUUACCGUCAUCAAAAUAUGGUGUGUUCUAAGAAAGAGGAUGUGGGGAAUGAGUCUGUUUUUGGUUGACUCUACAGAGCAAAAUAUACUACCUUUUUCUGUAUGUAAUAUUGUUCAGUGUAGCAAACUCUUUUACUUGUUACAGUACAGUAAAUGGGGUGUUUAAUUUGGGAUUCAAUGUAGUCUAGUGUCAAGGUGCAGCAGUUUUAUUACAGAAAUACAAUUUUAUUGGAGGCUGAAGAUUUAAUUUCCACCUUACGUAGAGAGCCGUAAAUGGCAUGCCUAUUUUACAUUUUGCAUAGCAUUUGGUAUAUGUAAUUCCUGGUCUAAUUUUAGAGUUUGAAAAGGUGGAAGAGUCACAAUAUGUAGAUUCAAAUGCUUCAACAUUUCAGCCACAAAUGCCAUUUUAAAAUGAGCAAUUUUCUGUUUCUUAGUCAUGGAUUUGAAAUUAUUUCUUCCCUCCCCUGUUUGAAUUCUGCACCACCUCCUUUCCAGUCCUUCCUAAUUAGGUGAGCCACAAAGUCACCCAAGGAACACCCUUGGGUUGGAACAAAUGCUUUCUUUGUUAAAUCUACUAGUUGGUAUUCUACUUAAUAGUCAGACAUUCAGAGGAUGUGGAUAGUUUGCCUUCUAUUUUGCUUCAUAUUUGUCAGGGCCCCAUGUAAAUGUCUGUUCUGAUGGGUGCAUUUAUAAAUGUAUUGUGAGGACUGAAUUUGAAAGAAGAAAUUGAAUGAUAUUAUCUAUAAAGCUAUAUCAACAUCGAAAUCCAAAUUUGGGGAAUUGUGUCAUUCUUUUUCCUUCAAAUGUGUUUAUUACAAGAAACACACACACAGAAGCUGCCCUGGCAUCUGUUUUCCCUUCGCAGCAUUAGUUCUCUUCAUCACCAUUUCAUACCUUCUACCACCAGGUGGAGCCCUUUGUUUAUGGACAUCUGUCCAUUUCCUUUUUCUCCAAGAUGCUACCAGAUAUAUGGCUCCAGAGUUAAAAAUAGUGUUGCAAACACGAAAAUUUAAUACCCACAGAUAAAAAAGUAAAGCUUUUCCAUGCAUUAUUAUAAUAAACCUUGCCUUAAGAGUCCUCUUGCUACUAGAUUUAAUAGCUUUAUACCCUUUCCUAUUUACAAUUUCUGCACACCAAACAGAAAAUAAUACUGUUGUGUGUGCCGUAAACAGUGUUGCUGCAGGUCUGUUUUAUGUAGCACCGUCGCUUUUAUAAUCUCAAAUAUUUGUAAACUUCGGUCAAACAGUAAAAAAAAAAAAAAAAAUGCUAUGAGCCUCAGUUUUCUUCAGUAUAUUUCUUUAAAAUAUACACCUCAUUGAGAAGAAAAUGUUUUCCUUCAGACAAAAGAGAGUGGUGAUUCAGCCGUAGGCAAUACAGGGUAAUGUCAAGUUCUUCUCUCAGUCAGAUUCAUCUCUCUUCGAUUUGAGGUCCAGUGAAGGAGAUCCAUCAAAGAUCUUUUCAUGAACAAAAGACAGUAAGGUAAGAAAAAUUUAGAAGCCUGAUUUGCAUGUGCAAAUAACUGUGGAAUGAGCUCACCUAGACUAGCUUGCCAGUGACCUCAACCUUGAUCUGGAAAGAUCAUUUAUUCACAAGUGAAACAUUCACAUUCGCUAUGCUAACCCCGUUUUGGGUCUUUUCUCAAGGUAGAUUACUAACGGUGACAUUGGAGGGUCUAUGAAUAACAUCUGCAUUUACCAACACCAAGGAAUUCCAUGUUUAACUGAACUAUCAUUUCUGUUGCAUUUUUUAUUUUAACCAGGGCGUGCUCUCUUUGUAUCGUACGUAUCUCAAAUUUUGCUCGAGCAUCUGCAAAGCAGUGAGCAGAGGAAGAUCUGUGUGUAUGUUUUAUUGAAUCCGUCCCUGGCCUGAGCAAUCUGGCUUUUCUAUCGCUCUUCAAACUGGUUCUGCGAUCUGAGAGGGAAGGCUGUCUGCGAAAGAGCCCUCAUACAACCAAAUGCUGGAACCACCAUUUUGCUGUCCGUUUGCACACGAUGAAAUGGUGGCACGGAAAACAGUUAACACAUUGUGCCCAUGAGAGUUGUCUUUGAAAGUAGUCUACUUGCUGAUCCAAAUAUCGAGCUGCUUUUUAAAAUAUUGUUACCAAGGGACUAAAGAUUUUCAUUUUCUUUAAAUACAUAAAACCUGUGUGUGUGUGUGUGUGUGUGUGUGUGUGUGUGAAAAGCAUCGGCUGCGUACAUUCAAGCUAGGGAUAGAAAGAACUCGUCAAAAAUGCACACUCAGGCUGAGAGGGAAAGCAAACCUAAAUAAAAGCCCAGAUCCUGAGAAUCGCUUCUAACAGCUCACAAAAGCUGUACGGUGAAUUUGGCCUUGAUGCCUCCUUUCAUUUUAACAUUCACGGCGUGCAACUGAGAGUGAGGAAAUUUAAGAGAGUUGGUAUUUUUUUCUUGUUUUAAAAAAAAGUCCCAUAAAAAUUAAAUGCAGGCCCACAUUUGACUCUCACCUGGGAACCCCCACACUCUCAUUUUUUUAUGGGAGGAAAGAAAAAAAAAUAAAACAAGGACCCAUGGUCCCUUCCUUUUCCACUUCUGCUCUUAUUUUUAAUCAUUAAAAAUGCUGCCUUGGCUGCAUUUAAGUGUGGAAAUUCUCAUUUUUCUGCAGUGUUUCAGACUCACACAGACUCCUUGGGGAUGCGGUGAGGAGCUAACCAACUGCACAUGGGAAAUGAGGAUUUUCGUGGUUAGAAAAACUGCAGUGUUUGGUAAUUUUCCACAUGGAGUUGAAGUUAGUGAGUUGUCUGGGCUGCAGAGGAAACUGCUGUAUCGUUAAACCCAAGGCCGACGACAAAAACAGCCGCCCUACCAGCAAAAUAGAUACCCCUCCUCAUUUCAUAAAUCUUGUUUCCAACGAGAAUAAAGCCAGGAACGGACUCUUGCUCACAGCAAUGGCCUGAAACGUCCUGUAUCAGGGUAGUCCGCUCAAAGGGACCCAGGGCACCCCGCAACAAUCUCAGGGCCGGGGAGGUGAUUGUAACCGACAGCCAGGAUCUGGCCCGCUGCCCUAAUUCCCAGCAAGACCCUCCGCAUCACAGCAGAGAAUGGUAGACAAAUAAAAACCUACACCACCAGCCAUCAGCAAGAACCACAAACGCUGCUGUGACUGAUCAAGACUUCAGCUGUCAAGAGUUGGCCAACUUCUCCCUCAUCUUCUCCCCGUCACCUGCCCACCCCCCUUCCCUCACAAAAAGCUUGUUAAUGGUGGAGGGCCCAACAGGAAAUGUUUUUACACUUAGCGCCAAAUGCUAAUCUUUCACUGAAGCCUUCAGUAUAUUUAAAUGUUUAGGUUACCGAGGCAAAAGGUAUUCUAAUAGACAUUACUUAGGGAAUAUGGAGAUUUAACAAUUUGGCUAAGCGUGUAUACAUUUAUUGAAUGUCCUCUUUAAUUAAGGAUUACCUUAAAAAAGCACAUGACAAUUCAAAGAGAAAGGGAAUUAUCAUUUAAGCCAUAACCAGCAUGAAACUUUGUGUUCCUUCAACAGAUGUUUGGGAUGAAGGAGAGGGGUGUAAAUAAAUUCUUAGUAGAUUAUAUAACAUUUCUUAACACAUCUAGAUUCACAUAUUUCUUCAUUUUCACAGAGUCCGCAUUGUAUUGUCUUGAAAUACUUUUUUUGUAGAACUAGAUUUGACAUGCACUUGUGAUACAUCAACCACUACAGAUAUCAAGCCAUUCUAAUCCAAAUAUGGAUAAAAGAUUCUGGUGAAAACUCUGCAUUGUCUUAUUUUGUAAAAAAUGGUUUGAAUUUUUAAGUACAUUAAUUGAAUUAAAUUCAUGGUAUUAGGUAUUUACGAAAAUAAAGACAUAUAUUCAGCAUAUUUAUUAUUUUAGUGAGUACCGGUGGAUUUUUCAGCCCAUGCAUUGUUUUGCAGUUUUCACAGAAUCUCUUAGAGCAACUGAAAAUGAUAUCCUUUCAAGAAAAUUCCGACUUUAUGAAAUUUUUCCAAAGAUGUUUAGAUUUAAUACUUCAAAUACAUUUCCCUUUUGUGACAUUCUUCUCUAGGGCUACCCAUAGUUGUCCCAAACCCAUUUUGAGGUCUCAGCUAAAAAUGUCAAAACCAGAGGUCUUUCCAAGGAGCGGCUGGGAACACGGAGGCCCUUUCUGCACAGCCAGUCUGACAGGCCCCUGGGUCUCCAUCAGGCCGGCCUCAUGUGGAUACACACAGCAGUUCUGCAAACAGAGAAGCAUCUCAUGCCCUUUCCCGGAAACAACACUUCCAGAAAAGAUGCUGACCAAGAAGAAACAGCAGGGGUGAGAGAAGUGGCCAUAGCACUGGCAACAUCUUAACAAGCACUAAUUAAAUGUCGUGCUUUAAAAAUACGGCUUAAGAAAGCCAAACACAAUAACUUCUUACAGAUGGUUUUAGGAACUAACAAGACCUGUAGGAAAUGGUGCCGUCAUUAAGAUCAGUGUCCCCAAAGUCUCCUACAAUCAUUAGUGACGAGGUGCUGUGCACUUUAGGAAGAAAUGAUGAGAAUCUGUCUGAUGUGAAGCUGGUUAUUUUUUUUUCCCCCUCAUUUGUCUCUGAAGGGAAUUUUGCAUCUGUUUUAGUGCAUUACACAGUCAAUUAUUGAAACGGCCAGUCAAUUGAAUAUAAAAAGAGCAUUAGCAGCCUUGGAAUCUAUUUUUCCAAUGAGGUACAAAGCCACGCUGAAAAAGAAUUAUGAAUACUAAGAAGAAAGGAGCUGUGUUUUGUCAUAUCGAUACCUCCAAUUCCAAUACAUUGUGGGCAUUUGAUAACUGAUCAUUUAUUGAACAAACAUUGCUUCAGUGGUUAUGUUGUCAGACAUGGGCUAAGUUUUGGAGAUAAAGUGAUCAAGAAGACAGACAAGGUUCCUGCCUUUUGGAAUAUAGAGCCUAUGUGAAGAUAUUUAUUGAAGAGUUGUAUGAAUGGUUGGAUGGAUGGAUGGAUGGAUGGGUAGGCAAAUGAUUCUUUAAAAAAAAAUGUUUCUCAGAUACAGGUCUGAUAUUCCUUUAGGAUUACACUCUUGGGCUGAGUUCAUGCAAAGAAAUGUAGAGCCAGAUCCCCUGGUGAGAUGGCACAAGACAAACCUGGUGGCAGUAACUGGCCUCAGCAUCGGCCUGAAACUAGGUGCUGCCAUGGCAGUCGGAGCUUCAGAUGAUGGAGCAGCUAGAGUUGUCAGGUUGCCAGGAUCUUAGAACUUGUUCAAGAUUACCGUUAGAACUAGUGUUCUUGGUAGAAUGGAAAAAGUACUUCUGGUAAUAUGGGAAAAUGCAAACCCAAUACUUAAAAAUUUUCAAGUGUGACUUUAAAGUAUGACUAAAUAUUAAAGGAUAGGUAUAUAUCUGACUCUGUUGUUAAGAAGAG